rnacentral:rRNA from 34 species
ACGCGACCCCAGGUCAGGCG